GAACAAGAAAGUUCCCGUUUUAACCUAAAGGGCGUGUUUUUAAAGAUAUAAGGGCUUCUUCAACCCUAAGUAUAGUGGCGCCAUCUGUUGUCGAGUAGUUGAACUUCAUUGAAAGUAUUCUACAGCAGCAGAACCUAUUGUCACGGCAGACGAUAAUAUCGAGAACAUUCUAGAAGAUAUGAGAAGGAAAAUAUUCUAAAACUUUCUCGAAUAUUCUAGAGCCUAGCUCUCUGAAUAUAUAAGAGCCCGGUGUCGCCCGCCAGAGUCAGUUCGAUUUGAACAGUGAAACAAGCGAUUUCGAAACGAGAAGGAAAGAAGUUAUCUGUGAGCCUUUAUUUUGAAGUAUCACGUGUGAGUAUUUUUAAUAGUGUGUAUAAUAAUUUUCCAUUUUGAAGCGAAGAAGAAAAAAGUUGUCUGUGAGCCUUUACUGUGAAAUAUCAAAUAAUACAAUGCCUAGACGUAAAAGAGGAGGAGAUCUUGCCAGUUCUGCAGCGAAACGGCGGAAACAA